UAGUCCUAUAGCUCAGUUGGUUAGAGCGCUACACUGAUAAUGUAGAGGUCGGCAGUUCAACUCUGCCUGGGACUACGAG
rnacentral:tRNA from 1 species